rnacentral:rRNA from 1 species
CCUACGGGAGGCAGCAGUGGGGAAUAUUGGGCAAUGGAGGAAACUCUGACCCAGCGACGCCGCGUGCGGGAUGAAGGCCUUCGGGUUGUAAACCGCUUUCAGUAGGGAAGAAGCGAAAGUGACGGUACCUACAAAAGAAGCACCGGCUAACUAUGUUCCAGCAGCCGCGGUAAUACAUAGGGUGCAAGCGGUUGUCCGGAAUUAUUGGGCGUAAAGAGCUCGUAGGUCGUUUGUUACGUCGGAUGUGAAAACCUGAGGCUCAACCUCAGGCCUGCAUUCGAUACGGGCAAACUAGAGUUUGGUAGGGGAGACUGGAAUUCCUGGUGUAGCGGUGGAAUGCGCAGAUAUCAGGAGGAACACCAAUGGCGAAGGCAGGGUCUCUGGGCCAAUACUGACACUGAGGAGCGAAAGUCUGGGGAGCGAACAGGAUUAGAUACCCUGGUAGUCCAGACCGUAAACGGUGGGCACUAGUUGUGGGAACCUUCCACGGUUUCUGCGACGUAGCUAACGCAUUAAGUGCCCGCCUGGGGAGUACGAUCGCGAGAUAACUACAAGAAGUAGAGCGUGAGACGNGCGAGCGACGACGAGGAGAG